ACGGAAACGAUACUAGCUUGCUAGUAGGCGUCGAGUGGCGGACGGGUGAGUAACGCGUAGGAAUCUACCUGAUAGUGGGGGAUAGCCCGAAGAAAUUCGGAUUAAUACCGCAUAAUCUAUUCGUAGUAAAGUGGGGGACUUUCGAGCCUCACGCUAUCAGAUGAGCCUGCGUAAGAUUAGCUAGUUGGUAGGGUAAAAGCCUACCAAGGCGACGAUCUUUAGCUGGUCUGAGAGGAUGAUCAGCCACAUCGGGACUGAGACACGGCCCGAACUCCUACGGGAGGCAGCAGUGGGGAAUAUUGGACAAUGGGGGCAACCCUGAUCCAGCAAUACCGCGUGUGUGAAGAAGGCCUGAGGGUUGUAAAGCACUUUCAAUUGUGAAGAAAAGCUAGUGGUUAAUAGCCAUUAGCCUUGACGUUAACUUUAGAAGAAGCACCGGCUAACUCCGUGCCAGCAGCCGCGGUAAUACGGAGGGUGCAAGCGUUAAUCGGAAUUACUGGGCGUAAAGCGUGCGUAGGCGGUUUAUUAAGUCAGAUGUGAAAGCCCCGGGCUUAACCUGGGAACUGCAUUUGAAACUGGUC
rnacentral:rRNA from 1 species